rnacentral:rRNA from 1 species
UAGGGAAUAUUGGUAAUCUGGGAAACCGGGAACCAGCAACGCCGCGUGCGCGAUGAAGGCCUUCGGGUUGUAAAGCGCUUUUUGAGAGGAUGAGGAAUGACAGUACUCUUAGAAUAAGCCUCGGCUAACUACGUGCCAGCAGCCGCGGUAAAACGUAGGAGGCGAGCGUUAUCCGGAUUUACUGGGCGUAAAGCGUGUGUAGGCGGUUUGAUAAGUUGGAUGUGAAAGCUCCUGGCUUAACUGGGAGAGGUCGUUCAAAACUAUCAGACUUGAGAGUGGUAGAGGGAGGUGGAAUUCCGCACGUAGUGGUGAAAUGCGUAGAUAUCGGGAGGAACACCAGUGGCGAAGGCGACUUCCUGGCACAAUACUGACGCUCAUGUGCGAAAGCUAGGGUAGCGAACG